rnacentral:rRNA from 1 species
UUCGGGACGCCGGCGAGUGGCGAACGGGUGAGUAACACGUGGAGACCUGCCCUGGGGUGGGGGAUAACAACUGGAAACGGUUGCUAAUACCGCAUACGCCUUACGAGGGAAAGAUUUAUUGCCCUGGGGGGGUUCCGCGUCGGAUUAGCUUGUUGGUGGGGUAACGGCCUACCAAGGCGACGAUCCGUAGCUGGUCUUAGAGGAUGAUCAGCCACACUGGAACUGAGACACGGUCCAGACUCCUACGGGAGGCAGCAGUGGGGAAUAUUGCGCAAUGGGGGAAACCCUGACGCAGCGAUGCCGCGUGGGUGAAUAAGGCCUUAGGGUUGUAAAGCCCUUUCAGUGGGAACGAUGAUGACGGUACCCACAGAAGAAGCCCCGGCUAACUCCGUGCCAGCAGCCGCGGUAAUACGGAGGGGGCGAGCGUUGUUCGGAAUUAUUGGGCGUAAAGAGCGCGUAGGCGGCUUUUCAAG